CCUGAGAAGAUUCCAUACAGGAAGUGCCCUCUCUGACCAUUUCUUGUGCUUCUGUGGCAUCUCUGUCGAAAAUACAGGAUCUCUGCUGUAACGUGACAAUUUCUAAGGCUCCCACAGGCUCUCUGAAGGCGCCAGAAGGUGGAAUGAGAUCUCUGCUGUCUCUGGGCUAGGUACAGGAGCGCUGUUUGUGCGUGGUCAGGCUGGUGGCUCAGAGACAGGAGAGGCGCGGCCCCGAGAAGUGGCCAUGUUUUUCUUUCAGCCUUUGAACAAAAACAACGUCGCCCGGUUGGAAUAUUAUCGCUAUUUUACGAGAAAAAUAGCAUAAAAAUUGAUUUUAAACAGCGUUUGACAUGCUUCGAAGUACGGUAAUGGAAUACUUUGAAAUGUUUUGUCACGACAUGCGUCCGCGCGUCACCGUUCGGAUAGGGACCUGAACGCACGGACAAAACGGAGGAUAUUUGAACAUAACUAUGGAUUAUUUUGAACCAAAACAACAUUUGUGGUUGAAGUAGAAGUCCUGGGAGUGCAUUCUGACGAAAGAACAGCAAAGGACCUGAGCCCUAGGACCAUGCCUCAGGACUACCUGACAUGAUGACUCCUUGCUGUCCCCAGUCCACCUGGCCAUGCUGCUGCUCCAGUUUCAACUGUUCUGCCUGCGGCUAUGGAACCCUGACCUGUUCACCGGAUGUGCUACCUGUCCCAGACCUGCUGUUUUCAACUCUCUAGAGACAGCAGGAGCGGUAGAGAUACUCUCAAUGAUCGGCUAUGAAAAGCCAACUGACAUUUACUCUUGAGAUGCUGACUUGUUACACCCUCGACAACUGUGAUUAUUAUUAUUUGACCAUACUGGUCAUUUAUGAACAUUUGAACAUCUUGGCCAUGUGCUGUUAUAAUCUCCACCCGGCACAGCCAGAAGAGGACUGGCCACCCCUCAUUGCCUGGUACCUCUCUAGGUUUCUUCCUAGGUUUUGGCCUUUCUAGGGAGUUUUUCCUAGCCACCGUGCUUCUACACCUGCAUUGCUUGCUGUUUGGGGUUUUAGGCUGGGUUUCUGUACAGCACUUUGAGAUAUCAGCUGAUGUAAGAAGGGCUAUAUAAAUACAUUUGAUUAUAUUUCCUUUUUAUGCACAUACUUUCAGAUAAAAUGCUUGGUCGAAAAUAUGAGAUACAUAUAAAUAGGAAAAGGGAAAUGCAUAGAAAUAAGUGGUUUCACUACAUGAAAUUGCAUGAGACUAGUUAGUUUUGAACAGUCUCGCUGAGCUCAUGCUGGUC
rnacentral:lncRNA from 1 species